UUACGACCAUAUCUCAUUGAAACAUCAGUACACGUGCGAUCACCGAAGUUAAGCAACGUCGAACCUUGUCAGCAUCUAGAUGGGUGACCGCUUAGGAAUACCAGGUGCUGUAAG